UAACCUCGUACUCAACACAUGCUUUUGCAAUGCUUGCAGUGUUGUCGAGUAAGUCGGGUUGUUGGAACUGAAAGAGAAUCUUUGGUAUUAACAUCUUAAACCAGAUCCAAUAUUGAAACAUGUCUGGAAGAGCAGGAGGAAAGAAGAAGCCUCUGAAGCAGCCCAAGAAGGAAUCUAGAGAGCUUGAUGAGGAUGAUUUACAGUUAAAACAGAAACAGAAAGAAGAGAAGAAGAAACUGGAACAAGCCAAAGCAAAAGCCUCCUCGCAGAAAGGACCUCUCAGUCAAGGUGGCAUUAAGAAAUCAGGAAAGAAAUAACAGCAGGUGUUGAGAUGGAUUCUUUCUUCAUUGUUUGGCAACAUGAAAUAGUGGUGUAUUGAUUAUUGUGUGUCCAGCCGUCGAUUUCACCAAACUCUUCCUAACUUAGGAUUAAUCUUAGGACUUAAAUCGAGUUAAGUUCCGUAGCCAUAGACCUUAGGGCGCAUUGAACCCAUCCUAAGUUAGGACGAGUUACUCAUCCUAACUUGAGAUGGGAUUAAUUCUAGCGUUUUGUGAACUCGGCUGCAGGAACAGAGCCCAAUUUCAUAGAGCUGCUUUAGCACGAAAAGUAGCUAAACACAACAAAAUUUAUGCUUACCAGAACAGGGUUACCAGCCAAAAUACCAUGUCACAUGUACACUUUGUGACUGGUAUCCUGUUCAUUUCUAGUAAGCAGAGAAUUGUGGAGCAAGCUCUAUGAAAUUGGGCCCAGGUUACGCAGACUAUUGAGUUUGUUCAUCAAGCCUGUCUUAUACAUGUACUACUAUUGCUUAAAUCAUGUGGUUCACUCAAUCUGGGGACAAUGUAUGUGAGAAUCAAACUUUGAUAUUCACAACUUAGUUUUAUGGGCAAUAACCAAGUAAUGGUAUACUUUACAAAAUAUUACCCACAAGGUUUUCAAUUUUUCUUUCAUUUUACUCCUUGAAUGUUUAGCAUAGGAAAUAUAGCUCCCUUUUAGCUCACUGCCAUUUUUUAAGUCAAAUUGCGUGUCAAGAUAUGUUGCACAUCUAACUAUGCAUGCAUCUAGUCAUGCGCGCAUUGCUUAAAAUACACAGAUAAUGUGACUCUAUAAAUGGCACAACUAAGAUGGAUUACGAGUGUGGACACCAGGGCCCAACUUCAUAAAACCUGUAAGCAGUAAAACUUGCUAAGCACAAAAAAUGGUUACUAAUCAGCAUACAAUGCAGUUAUCAUUGCUGUCACUGGUGUACCCCGGUCAUUUCUUACUUAGCCAAGAAAUUUGCUAGGCAGAAUGGUUUAUAUGCUAACAGCUUUAUAAAACUUGCCCCAGGUGACUUGGGUCAAAAGACAGUGUAUUGAGUACUCGCCAUGAUUUUCAUGUGUUUUAUAGGAGGUCUUUUUUAUCAAGAAAUAAUUAUUUUGUUCUUCUAAAUUGUGGUUCAAGGCAAAAAAAGCUGCAUAAAUCCUACUUGUUUGUACAAUAUAACUAGGGCUUACAUUCAUUCAAACUAUCUUAAUAAAAAAAAUGUACAUGUGCAUGCUACUGAACAGAGAGGACAGUGUAACAAGUAACUUGUAGAAACAAAACCUGUCUGACUGUCAAACGCUGCUUUUGUGAAAGUUGUUUUUUAUAGAAAUAAUCUCUUGUCCGCUAUUGAGGCUUGUUAAGGAACACCCAUGGCUAUAUUAUCAUAAUGUUACAACAUUGUUCUUGUUUUGUUUUAAAUGUUUGUGGUAAAUGCAAAGAAACAUGGAACAAUCAUAAUCAUCAAAGCAGAGGUUGCCCUAAAGUACAUUCAUUAAAAGUUAGGAUAUGAUGUACUCUUCUUAAUGUCGAGGGAAACUGUUUGAUUGUAUUUUUAAAGGCAUUAUUUGUCAGUAUUGGAAUCAUCUAUGUACAUUGUACAGCAUACAAGGAAGUUUUCUGAAAUCAGUAUCUUGGGUAUGUAAAGAUAUCUGGCUAGGAAUCAGCAAUACAAGAAGGCUACUACAUGUUAAUUGGGUGAUGAAUCAGAGAAAUAAAGAGAUAUUUUAAACCGAU